rnacentral:tRNA from 1 species
GCACUGGUGGUACACUGGUAGAAUUCUUGUCUUCCAUGUGGGAGAGACUCGGGUUCAAGCCCCAGCCAGUGCA